rnacentral:rRNA from 1 species
AUUGAACGCUGCCGCCGGGCUUACCCCAUCCAGUUCAGCGGGAGAAGGGAGCUUGCCUCUUGAUUUAGCGGCGGACGGGUGGGUAAUGCCUUAGAAACCUCCCGGUAGUUGGGGGAUACCUUCGGGAACCGGGGCCUAUUACCGCAUCGUCCCUGGGGAGAAAGGUGGGGAUUUUUGGACCUUACGCCAUUAGAUGAGGCUAGGUCGGAUUAGCUAGUUGGUGGGGUAAAGGCCUACCCAGGCGACGAUCCGUAACUGGUCUGAGAGGAUGAUCAGUCACACUGGAACUGAGACACGGUCCAGACUCCUACGGGAGGCAGCAGUGGGGAAUAUUGGACAAUGGGCGAAAGCCUGAUCCAGCCAUGCCGCGUGUGUGAAGAAGGUCUUCGGAUUGUAAAGCACUUUAAGUUGGGAGGAAGGGCAGUAAGUUAAUACCUUGCUGUUUUGACGUUACCAACAGAAUAAGCACCGGCUAACUUCGUG